UGCGUAGGCGGCCUGACAAGUUGGGUGUGAAAUCCCUCGGCUUAACCGAGGAAUUGCGCUCAAAACUGUUGGGCUUGAGGGAGUUAGAGGUGAGCGGAACUUAGGGUGGAGCGGUGAAAUGCGUUGAUAUCCUAAGGAACACCAGUGGCGAAAGCGGCUCACUGGAGCUUUUCUGACGCUGAGGCACGAAAGCUAGGGGAGCGAACGG
rnacentral:rRNA from 1 species